rnacentral:rRNA from 1 species
GAUCUCCGCAAUAACAUGGAUAACUGUGGUAAUUCUAGAGCUAAUACACGCAAUCGAGACUCGACCUCACGGGACAGUCGCAUUUAUUAGUCCAAAACCAAUCGACUUUGUCGUACUUUGGUGAUUCUGAAUAACUACGCUGAUUGCAUGGUUUCAAACCGGCAACCAUUCCUUCAAGUGUCUGCCUUAUCAACUUUCGAUGGUAGUUUAUUUGACUACCAUGGUUUCGACGGGUAACGGAGAAUUAGGGUUCGACUCCGGAGAGGGAGCCUGAGAAACGGCUACCACUUCUAAGGAAGGCAGCAGGCGCGCAAAUUACCCACUCUCAGCACGAGGAGGUAGUGACGAAAAAUAACAAGAUGAUUCACUUAUGUGGGUUAUCAUUGGAAUGAGAACAAUCUAAACCUUUUAACGAGGACCUAGCGGAGGGCAAGUCUGGUGCCAGCAGCCGCGGUAAUUCCAGCUCCGCCAGUGUAUAUCUAUGCUGUUGCGGUUAAAAAGCUCGUAGUUGGAUCUUCGUGUAUGGAUCUGGUCCUCCUAAGGGAGUGCACUGG